UAUUUGUUGCACCUACAGGUAAGCCGUAAUCUAGGCUUACCCGUAGGUUAAAGGGGUUUACAACCACUUUAAGCAGCAAACUGACUGUGAGCUUCUGCAGCUGAGACUGACUGCUCCAGCUUGUGUACAGAGAAAUAUAGUUUAUCAUGCUUCCCUUCCUCCAUGAGAUCUCCCCUCACCCAUUCAUAGCAAGCCUUGUUUUCAUUGAAUAAAAUACAAAGCUUUUUGUUGAUGACAGAGGAAGGGGAACGAUCUGAGCUGCACAAGUUCAUGGCAUGCAUUCAGUUUCUGGCAUUAUAAAAAAAUACAUUUUUAGCAUCCUCAGCCACCCUCCAGGUGUGGUAAGCAAAAGAUUGUGCAUCACUUGCACGGACCAUUUACAAUAUAAAAGUACUUAUUCCUAGCGUUUACACUAGAAGCCAGGAAAAUCCUUAGCCGGGUGGAGAAACCAUAUAAAGAUCUAUAGCAGUGUUUCUCAACUCUUUUCCCUUGGUGGCUGCCAGCAGUGCAUGUGUUUCAGAUCUCCCUACAAUAUCAACUGUUCUUUGUAGCUAUUAUUGCAUAACCAAGCUGCAUUUUCUCCUGAAAUUCUAGGUAACAUAAUACUGUUCAAUGCCAGUAAGGGCUAUAGAUCAGAAUCGCUGUGCUAAAAUCUGAUUCAGUGACGAUGGAAAGUUUGCUGGGUUUACACUGAGUGGUCUUCACAAAUCAAUAUCACAGGCAAUCCAAAAUGUAUUAAAGCGGGUGAAUCUGCAUUGCUCAUGAGAAGUAUAAAUGCUAAAUAAUUCAAUAGGUAGUUUGAGAUUUUAAAUCUGUGCAAACCACUACACUUUCUAAGACUGACUAUAUUAAUACAAUGGGCAGCAUUGUCAGAAUACCAGCUAAUGUUAUGACCUGUGCGUAUGGUAACUGAAUUGCUGAAACGGCAUAAAAUAUCAAAUAUCUACAUAUAAAUGCAGAGGGCCCCAAACAUAUUUUCCCAAGCAAAAAUUCUUCACACUAGUGACUAAAA